UGGGGAAUUUUGCACAAUGGGGGAAACCCUGAUGCAGCGACGCCGCGUGAUUUAGAAGGCCUUCGGGUUGUAAAAAUCUUUUUUACGGGAUGAAAAUGACAGUACCGUAAGAAUAAGGUCCGGCUAAAUUCGUGCCAGCAGCCGCGGUAAUACGUAUGGACCGAGCGUUGUCCGGAAUCAUUGGGCGUAAAGGGUACGUAGGCGGCCUAGUAAGUUAGAAGUGAAAUAAUAUAGCUCAACUAUAUAAAGCUUUUAAAACUGCUAGGCUUGAGAGAUGGAAGGGAAAGUGGAAUUCCUAGUGUAGCGGUGAAAUGCGCAGAUAUUAGGAAGAAUACCGGUGGCGAAGGCGACUUUCUGGUCAUCAUCUGACGCUGAGGUACGAAAGCGUGGGUAGCAAACAGG
rnacentral:rRNA from 1 species